AACGAACGCUGGCGGCAUGCCUAACACAUGCAAGUCGAACGAGACCUUCGGGUCUAGUGGCGCACGGGUGCGUAACGCGGGGGAAUCUACCCUCAGGUUCGGAAUAACUCAGAGAAAUUUGAGCUAAUACCGGAUGAUGACGUAAGUCCAAAGAUUUAUCGCCUGAGGAGGAGCCCGCUUAGCUUUAGGUAGUUGGUGAGGUAAAGGCUCACCAAGCCGACGAUCCUUAGCUGGUCUGAGAGGAUGAUCAGCCACACUGGGACUGAGACACGGCCCAGACUCCUACGGGAAGCAGCAGUGGGGAAUAUUGGACAACGGGCGAAGGCCUGAUCCAGCAAGGCCGCGUGAGUGAUGAAGGCCUUAGGGUUGUAAAGCUCUUUUACCCGGGAUGAUAAUGACAGUACCGGGAGAAUAAGCUCCGGCUAACUCCGUG
rnacentral:rRNA from 1 species